rnacentral:rRNA from 1 species
UACGUAGGGGGCAAGCGUUGUCCGGAAUCAUUGGGCGUAAAGAGCGUGUAGGCGGCUCGGUAAGUCCGCUGUGAAAGUCCAGGGCUCAACCCUGGAAUGCCGGUGGAAACUGUCGAGCUAGAGUCCGGAAGAGGCGAGUGGAAUUCCUGGUGUAGCGGUGAAAUGCGCAGAUAUCAGGAGGAACACCAAUGGCGAAGGCAGCUCGCUGGGACGGUACUGACGCUGGAGACGCGAA